GCUAGCUUAUAUUUUACUUAUCCUUAAAACCCAGCUUACAGUGGCAGGCACCUGUAGUCCCAGCGACUCGGGAGGCUGAGGCAGGAGAAUGGCGUGAACCCGGAAGGCAGUGCUUGCAGUGAGCUGAGAUCGCGCCACAGCACUCCAGCCUGGGCGACAGAGCGAGGCUCUGUCUCAAAAAAAAAAGAGGAAAAAAGAAAAAGGAAAAAAACCAGCUUAAAUUCUUGUAGGAAUAAGGUGCAUAUUAGAGAAACAACUCAACUGCCUUCAGCAAAGUACGGAAUUUGGUGACUCAUCCCUGGGAAGUCCAGAGGUGGAGCUGGCCUCAAACAGAUUCAUCAGUCUUUCUUCACUGAAAACCAGAGGAGGCACCUGCCACCCACCUGACUCCAGGAGCCUGAGUCAAAGUUCAGUCUGCACAGCUCAGGCAGGACUUGAACCCAGAACCACAGAGUGAGCCCUUGUCAGCUGUGCUGAGUAAGAAAUGAGAAAUGUUGCAGGUCCUGAGGUAGGGUAGGUGGACAGUGGGAUUCCUGAAGCAUUCCACACCACCUGGCAGGAAGA
rnacentral:lncRNA from 1 species